UGUUGUUUUUUUUUUUUAAAUGUAUAGUUUCAAGCAUAGCCAUGUAACACCAAAGAGCCUGCAUGCAUAAUGCCAACUAUCAGCCUAAAGCAGCAAGAAGCAGAAAUUUGUUCCAAUUUUGCCAACACUUGUUACUCUCAUGAGAGCCACGCAGUAUUUGCCAUUUUGCAUAACUAUUCUUUGAGUCAUGUACUUAUAUUUCUUAUACUUCUUGCCUUUCAUUUAAAAUGGAAAACAAAUUUUGUUUCACUGUGAUUGAGAAAACAAGAAAACACCUACGAGGAUGUUCUUCAAACAAACCUUGCUGAAAAAAUGCAAGCCCACAGAGCUCAGAAGCCUGAAAUCUAAAAAUAUAGAUGUACUCAUUCUUAAUACUCAAUCUUUUUUAAGUCAGUUUUGAGUUACGAUUUUAGAGGAACACUGAUUUGUGAGUUUUGAUUAAAACAGAUCAACAAUAGUGCCUUAUCGGGUUGUUGAAAGGGAGAAAAUAACCAUCUGUUCCUACCUUGUGGGCAACCUUCAAGAAACAGUUGAAGUCAAUGCUUUUAUUUUCUAAGAAGGUGGCAGUAUAGGAGUGGAUGAAUCACAUAGCUGUUGGAAAUUGCUAUAGUCAGCUAUUACUACUGAGGUGCCUGCUAAGUGUCAAAUAGAAAAAGAAAAGAGAACAGUCUAUGUGAUUGUUAGGGAAACGCGUUCAUCAGAAAGUAAAAUCUUGUCUGAAAAAGAUAAGUCCUGAAAUGACAACUACUUACUUUGCAGCCUCUCUGAAAUGUGUUUGUGAAGCACUGGGAUGCGGCUGUUCCCUCCCCUACUCAGCACCAGCUUCCACCUCCACGUGUCCGCGCAUCUCAACCCAGAGCAAAACCUCUCAACUUUUUGAAACUGAGGUCCAUCUAGUGGAUACAACUCGAUAUUACAGCAGCGAAAUCCCCAGCUGCUUAUUAAAGAUCCAUACCUACAUCCUGAUGAUGCUGGUGGCACUUCCUUCAAGUUCAAAAUCUGGACUCAGUUUGGUUGGCUUCCAGCGGAUAAAUUCCCACCCCCCAGAGGAGAAGUAGAAAUUUUGGAGAAGAAUGAUUGAUUAUUGCCUGAGAGAUCUGAACUGUGUAAAUGAAUUAAAGAUGCAGUUCUGCAAUUUCUUUCCGUUUCCUUCAGCAAACAUUACAGGGAAGAUUCCUGGGGGACUUGAAUGAAUCCUCUUGCUUGUAUGCACUAGAUCUUGCUGCCUAGGAGAUACACAACUGGCAUAUCUAUAGGCAGAGAGUACCCCAAUUGUGUCUAAAAAUAGGAACUCUGUGAAAUACAAAGGGAUAAACUUGAAAUAGUGUGAUUAACAAACAGAUUUUCAAUCAUUUUUACUUAAGAAGAAGAGUUGAGAAUAUCCUGAGUCCUUUGUCAUCUUGACUGC
rnacentral:lncRNA from 1 species